GGUCCUGGGAGGCCCCUCUCACUCCGUGUGUCCUGACUCAUCUCUCUCUCUUUUUCCCCAAACUGGCCUCCUCCCAUGUUUCCCAUCUGAGGGACAGCCCCACCGUCCACCUCGCCAUGUGGCGACCUCUGCUCCUGUCCCUUACAGCCCCAAGGUCCCCGGUCUGGCUCCUUCCUGUCCCUGCCUCUCUCUGCCUCGUUCUCUCCUCUCUGUGCCCUGGGCCUGGCUGCAGCUCAGGUGUCCUCCUCUGCCCCUGGCCCCUCACCCCAGCCUCCUCCCCGACCUCCCACCGGCCAGUUCAUUCCCUCCGUCCAUCACCAGGUGGCCUCCGAGGGCUGUCUAUGCUCAGACCCGCCCUGCCCCUCCCUGCUCACAGCCCCUCCAGCUCCUCGCUGCCCUUGGACAGGUCCCCACCGUCAGCCUGCGCUGGAGGUCCUUUGAGAUCCGCCUGCCAGGACAAGUCUUAUCGUAAAACCCGCCCCCCCCCCCCCCCCAGGGAGAGAGUUCCUGCAGGGGGACUGGGGGCCCCAGACUCCGGGGUCAGCGGGAGGAGCCGUGAGGAACCUCUCCUGCCCGGUUUCCAGGCGGGUCUGGUAUCCGACUGCCUCUGGUGCGUGGACCUGGGACUCCUGCCCAACGUCGUGUGUGUCGGAACCGAGUGAUUAAAGAGCAAAGACGGCAUGCUCUUUGCUGGCGGGGUCCUGAGGGGCCUGGGAGCCCGGGCAGUGCUGGGCAGAAGCAGGACAGGGUCUGGCUGGUCUGCUCACCGGCUCCCUCUGGCGUCCGUGCGGCAGACUGCAGAGGCGAGGUUACAGUAACCAGGUGGCUACUGGGAAAUGUAAAAUGACAUAGGCGGCUCCCACUGUAUUUUGAUUGGACAGCGUGGCUUUGGAGGAAUUAGGAAUCAAAGAUGAACAAAACAGAAGACGCUUACGGGCAGGCCUUCGUCCGGGCUGCUGUGCCAUAGCCCGCAGCCACGGGAUAGACCUACAGGCCUGACCUGGAAGACUUUGACGACACCGGAGUAGAAGUUAGGAUCUUCAUGUGUCCCUGCUUGGACCUCAUCUCACAGCCUCUCCCCGUCUCUCGCACCUGCCCCACCUGCCCAGUGCUGCUGCUUAAGACUUGUGAAGCGCAGUCCACCUCAGGACAUUUGCACUGGCUGUUUCUCCUACCCAGAAUGCUCUUUGCCUAGCCGGUGUGGCUCAGUCGGUUGGAGCGUUCGUUGGCCAGGGCACCGGAAGGUCAUGGGUUUGAUUCCUGGUCAGGACACAUGCCUGGAUUGCGGGUGUAUGGGAGGCAACCAAUCGAGUUUCUCUCUCACAUGGAUGUUUCUGUCUCUCUUCUUCCCUCCCUCUCAAAAAAUAAAAAUAAAAUAAAAUGUGUCAUCUCCAGGGAUCACUUCGUAAAUUAUGUAAUCAUCUAACACUAUGCUGUACACCUGAAAGAAAUGUAUUACAAAUACUAUUGAAUGGCAAUUGUAAUUGAAAAAAAUAAAAAUAAA